rnacentral:rRNA from 1 species
AGCAGCCGCGGUAAUUCCAGCUCCAAUAGCGUAUAUUAAAGUUGUUGCAGUUAAAAAGCUCGUAGUUGAAUUUCGGGGCCAGUAGGUUGGUCGUGCCACUGGUAUGCACUGGCCUCACUGGUCCCUCCUUCUUGUAGAACCGUGAUGGCAUUAAUUUGUUGUUGCGGGGAAACAGGACUGUUACUUUGAAAAAAUUAGAGUGCUUAAAGCAGGCUCGCGCUUGAAUACAUUAGCAUGGAAUAACGAAAUAGGACGAUCGAACCUAUUUUGUUGGUUUCUAGGAUCCACGUAAUGAUUAAUAGGGAUAGUUGGGGGCAUUAGUAUUCAAUUGUCAGAGGUGAAAUUCUUGGAUUUAUUGAAGACUAACUACUGCGAAAGCAUUUGCCAAGGAUGUUUUCAUUAAUCAAGAACGAAAGUUAGGGGAUCGAAGACGAUCAGAUACCGUCGUAGUCUUAACCAUAAACUAUGCCGACUAGGGAUCGGAUGAAGUUAAUUUUUAAUGACUCAUUCGGCGCCUUAC